UACAGAGGGGGCAAGCGUUAUUCGGAAUUAUUGGGCGUAAAGGGCGCGUAGGCGGCUUGGCAAGUGGAUGGUGAAAUCCCUCGGCUUAACCGGGGAACUGCGUCUGAUACUGGAUGGCUUGAGGUUGGGAGAGGGAUGCGGAAUUCCAGGUGUAGCGGUGAAAUGCGUAGAUAUCUGGAGGAACACCGGUGGCGAAGGCGGCAUCCUGGACCAAUUCUGACACUGAGGAGCGAAAGCCAGGGGAGCAAACGGG
rnacentral:rRNA from 1 species